rnacentral:rRNA from 1 species
UACGUAGGGUGCAAGCGUUGUCCGGAAUUAUUGGGCGUAAAGAGCUCGUAGGCGGUUUGUCGCGUCUGCUGUGAAAACCCGAGGCUCAACCUCGGGCCUGCAGUGGGUACGGGCAGACUAGAGUGCGGUAGGGGAGACUGGAAUUCCUGGUGUAGCGGUGAAAUGCGCAGAUAUCAGGAGGAACACCGAUGGCGAAGGCAGGUCUCUGGGCAUUAACUGACGCUGGAGGAGCGAAAGCAUGGGGAGCGAACAGG